GUUCUUUAAAAUUUUCCUUAAAAUAAAGAAAUGGAUAAGCAUGACCAGAAACUUCUUCCCCUCUCACGAACACUCUCGAUCUUGAUCAAUUUAUUUCUUACUCUCUCAGUCCUUGUGACGACUUCUCCUCAAGAGGUACAAGGUUGCUAGAUAUUUAGGGUUGGACGCUCAUCUUCAAUUCAAGGGUUAAACAGAGAUGGAGUUUUGGUCAUUCACCUACGUCCCGUCGCCGUUAAGUCGAGUUGUAGAAAUCGACAUGCAGAAUCGUCAUCAUCUUCUGUGCGUUGCAAGGUAUAUCCAAGAACCCAACUAUUUCGACUUUUGGUUUUAAGGGAGAUCGAUUUCUGAACUUCUGAUUGUUAUUAACAACUUGGUUGCUGGUAACGAUGUUGCUGGAAUUGAUAUGGGUGAUGAGUUUCCUUGGGUGGAGAAGUAAGACGAGGAACAGAAGAAGAAAGGUAUAUUUUGAUUGGAUGAAUGAAAUUGGGAGAGAGUCUAAAACGAUGAAGAAGAAGGGUUCCAGUUCUCCAUCUAGGACAAGACUACAUGCUUGGACGUAAUGGACAUCCUCUUGAAAAUUAAGGUGAGAGUCUGGGUAAACAAGGAACUCUUGUUUCAUGUUAUUUAAUUAUAAAGUUUUGUUAUGUUGGAUUUUGGUGGUAUGAUGUUGGCCACUAGUUAAAGUAAAUAUUAUUCUACAAUUUCUUUUUGGAAGUGAGUGAAUUAUGGAUGUGAGACCAGCCAUAAUAAUAUAUGGUAUAUUUAGAUUACAAAGUCUAUUAUGAAUUGGUGAUCACGGUAGGAGGUACCAAAUUGGGUUAAGUUCCCAUUUAAAUUCUGUAACAGCUUUGGUUAUGUUGUGAACCUUGAAAUGGUUAAGUGUAUGGAAAUCAAUUU